GAUGAACGCUGGCGGCGUGCCUAAUACAUGCAAGUCGAGCGAACAGACGAGGAGCUUGCUCCUCUGACGUUAGCGGCGGACGGGUGAGUAACACGUGGAUAACCUACCUAUAAGACUGGGAUAACUUCGGGAAACCGGAGCUAAUACCGGAUAAUAUAUUGAACCGCAUGGUUCAAUAGUGAAAGACGGUUUUGCUGUCACUUAUAGAUGGAUCCGCGCCGCAUUAGCUAGUUGGUAAGGUAACGGCUUACCAAGGCAACGAUGCGUAGCCGACCUGAGAGGGUGAUCGGCCACACUGGAACUGAGACACGGUCCAGACUCCUACGGGAGGCAGCAGUAGGGAAUCUUCCGCAAAGGGCGAAAGCCUGACGGAGCAACGCCGCGUGAGUGAUGAAGGUCUUCGGAUCGUAAAACUCUGUUAUUAGGGAAGAACAAAUGUGUAAGUAACUAUACACGUCUUGACGGUACCUAAUCAGAAAGCCACGGCUAACUACGUG
rnacentral:rRNA from 1 species